rnacentral:rRNA from 1 species
GAUUAACGCUGGCGGCGUGCAUAACACAUGCAAGUCGAACGAAGUGGCGGACGGGUGAGUAACGCGUGAGUAACCUGCCUUAGAGAAGGGGAUAGCCUUUGGAAACGAAGAAUAAUACCCUAUGCUCUACGAUGGACUUACGUCGGAUUAGUUAGUUUGUGAGGUAACGGCCAACCAAGACAGCGAUCAGUAGCCGGCGUGAGAGAGUGUACGGCCACAUUGGGACUGAGACACGGCCCAGACUCUACGGGAGGCAGCAGUGGGGAAGUUUGCACAAUGGGGGAAACCCUGAUGCAGCGACGCCGCGUGAUUUAGAAGGCCUUCGGGUUGUAAAAAUCUUUUCUAUGGGAAGCAGUACCAUAGGAAUAAGGACCGGCUAAUUACGUGCCAGCAGCCGCGGUAAUAC